GACGAACGCUGGCGGCGUGCCUAACACAUGCAAGUCGAACGGGGUAUUUCUUCGGAGAUACUUAGUGGCGAACGGGUGAGUAACGCGUGAGAAACCUGCCUUUCAGUGGGGGACAACAGUUGGAAACGACUGCUAAUACCGCAUAAUGUCAUUUGGGGGCAUCCCCGGAUGACCAAAGAUUUAUUGCUGAAAGAUGGUCUCGCGUCUGAUUAGCUAGAUGGCGGGGUAACGGCCCACCAUGGCGACGAUCAGUAGCCGGUCUGAGAGGAUGAACGGCCACAUUGGGACUGAGAUACGGCCCAGACUCCUACGGGAGGCAGCAGUGGGGAAUAUUGGGCAAUGGGGGAAACCCUGACCCAGCAACGCCGCGUGAAGGAAGAGGGCCUUCAGGUUGUAAACUUCUUUUACCAGGGACGAACAUAUGACGGUACCUGGAGAAAAAGCAACGGCUAACUACGUGCCAGCCGCCGCCGUAACAC
rnacentral:rRNA from 1 species